GAUGAAGAACGUAGCGAAAUGCGAUAAGUAAUGUGAAUUGCAGAAUUCAGUGAAUCAUCGAAUCUUUGAACGCACAUUGCGCCCGCCAGUAUUCUGGCGGGCAUGCCUGUUCGAGCGUCAUUACAACCCUCAGGCCCCCGGGCCUGGCGUUGGGGAUCGGCGGAGCCCCCCGUGGGCACACGCCGUCCCCCAAAUACAGUGGCGGUCCCGCCGCAGCUUCCAUCGCGUAGUAGCUAACACCUCGCGACUGGAGAGCGGCGCGGCCACGCCGUAAAACACCCAACUCUUCUGAAGUUGACCUCGAAUCAGGUAGGAAUACCCGCUGAACUUAAGCAUAUCAAUAAGCGGAGA
rnacentral:misc_RNA from 1 species